UGGGGAAUUUUGGACAAUGGGGGCAACCCUGAUCCAGCAAUGCCGCGUGUGUGAAGAAGGCCUUCGGGUUGUAAAGCACUUUUGUCCGGGAAGAAAUCGCACCUGAUAAUACCUGGUGUGGAUGACGGUACCGGAAGAAUAAGGACCGGCUAACUACGUGCCAGCAGCCGCGGUAAUACGUAGGGUCCAAGCGUUAAUCGGAAUUACUGGGCGUAAAGCGUGCGCAGGCGGUUGUGCAAGACCGAUGUGAAAUCCCCGGGCUUAACCUGGGAAUUGCAUUGGUGACUGCACGGCUAGAGUGUGUCAGAGGGGGGUAGAAUUCCACGUGUAGCAGUGAAAUGCGUAGAGAUGUGGAGGAAUACCGAUGGCGAAGGCAGCCCCCUGGGAUAACGCUGACGCUCAUGCACGAAAGCGUGGGGAGCAAACAGG
rnacentral:rRNA from 1 species